rnacentral:rRNA from 1 species
CAGCAGCCGCGGUAACACGAAGGGGGCUAGCGUUGCUCGGAAUUACUGGGCGUAAAGGGAGCGUAGGCGGACAUUUAAGUCAGGGGUGAAAUCCCGGGGCUCAACCUCGGAAUUGCCUUUGAUACUGGGUGUCUUGAGUAUGAGAGAGGUAUGUGGAACUCCGAGUGUAGAGGUGAAAUUCGUAGAUAUUCGGAAGAACACCAGUGGCGAAGGCGACAUACUGGCUCAUUACUGACGCUGAGGCUCGAAAGCGUGGGGAGCAAACAGGAUUAGAUACCCCCGUAGUCCCUGUCUCUUAUAC